rnacentral:lncRNA from 1 species
AGCAUCCCAGAGGCCGCUUCCUCGGUCGAGGACCCAGAGAGACUCAGGGGAAAUUAGAGCAUGAUGGCGGCCGAGGUCGCUUGGCGCAACCAUCGUCUUUUUUCUUUAUUUUUAGCUCAUUAGUGCCUUGCCUCGGCGCUGUUUCCCUAAGCUCCUCUCUCCAACCAGUACUGCCCUAUAACGGAAUCCAUACGUGCCGGCUCCUUGAUUUAUCCCCUCCGAAGUGCUGAGUGUGGGCUGGUUGUGCGUCAUUGGACUGUCAGGAUGUCACUCCCCAGUCAAAUCUUCAAGCUAUUGGUGGAACAGCAAGAAAGCCCGUCCAUCAACAAGGGCUAAUACCAUUGGUUUGACUCCACUGUGUUAUUUCCUGGCACCUUAUUGGGCAAAUAGGUGCGUCAGAUCCGGAUUCGCUCUGCUACGGUUAAUUGUUUACUGGGGAUUUGGGGUCAACUCUGGUUGUUUGGCCAGUAGUUGACGAUAAUAGUGACUCCCUUGCCUAUUUUGUGCCAAGUAUUGGGCUGCUUUCUUCACAAACAUUAUCUGGUUAAACCUGGGAGUAAUGCAGUAUCCAGUUUUUAUAGAUGGGAAAUUAAGGCUGGCGAGAGCUUAGAAAACUUGCCCAAGGUCAUCCAGAUACAGAGUCGUUGGUGGGCCUGGCAUCUGGUCCUGGGUCAAACUGCAGAGACUUCACUCUUUUUAUUAUGCUUUAGUGCCUCCACCUUAGACGAUGUACUUGUCAGCCAACCUAGCAUCUUAAAAACGUUUCAUUUGGAACUCAAAGUCUUCAGUCAGUUUCUAGAAGUGACUUUGUUGGGGACUUACUAUGGAAAGGUUGUCAUUGCCUCCACCACAUCUUCCUCCCCAGGACCCAUUCCUCUCCCCUUUAAGGUAGACAUUUCUGCCUCCUUUUAUGCGAAGCCUAGGCACCACUCGCAACCCCUGACCAACCAUCUACAACUCAUUCUUUGGAGAGAGUCCUCAAGAGCUGGAAAACUAGGAGAAAUCAAGUCUAAAGAGAGAGACAGAAUAAAUCGUCUUAGAAAUGAAUAAUUUAUUGCAUGCAAAGAGAACAGCCCUUCAGCUCCUGGAAAUCUUCCAGGAUAGUUGAUGCUGAGCAAGACGUGUGCUCCUGGCUGGUGGCCACUGGGUUCUUUCCCUAUAGCAGCAUUCAUCGAAGUGAAUCCAACAUUUCAGCCAGAGGAGGGCAGGACGCUUAGGACCCAUUGCCAGUGAGCUUUUGCGACCGAAAUGAUCUCCAGGAGCACAACGCUGGACUCUAGCCCACAUUCCAUCUUGGGUAAUUAACAUUUUACCGUCCCAAAUCCCCAUCCCCUGUAGCUUCAGUGGGAUCACCGCCCUUGUUUCACUUCCUGAUCCAAGCUGUUGUGUAACCUCCUUGGCACUGCUUUAAUAAUAAAACAACCAUUGUAACAUAGUAACAAUGCUCAACACUUAGAGCCUUUCAGCAAAUGAAGCCAAGGUAUUUCAUAAACGUCAAUUAAGAGUAAGUGGCAUGUAUUCCUAGGGCAACUGCAAGAAGGACAGAAGAAAGAUCGUGCGUCAAAUUCUAAUAUAGGUUGUAAGAACGUGAGUCCUUAAAAUUGUAUGCACAUACCCCAUAUUAGCCUUCCAGUAUGGGGAUUCUGAACUCAAAAACACAAUGAAUGAGAAACAUUCAGAAUCUAAAACCUUCCUAAUCUUCAAAGUUGGUUGCUUGGACCCCUAUUUUAGCACUUAAGUUGGUGCUUGACUUUCUGGGUAAUUGUUUGAUACAUUUCAGUUGUAAGUACCUUGAAGCAGAUGGUUUCUUUUUCAUCUUUGUGUCCUUCACAUUGUUCUGAUCGUAAAAGGCCCCCAAAUAAAUAAUUACUCAGUAAAUGUUUAGUGAGCAUGUCAGGCACUUUUACUAAGUUACAAAGGCUAUGCAGAUGAGUGAUACACUCUCUCUUCCUUCAAGGACCUCAGUCGAGUAGGGGUGUCCAGCAGAUAAGCAGAUAACCAUGAUGCAGUGCUGUGAGAAGGUGCCCUGGAAGCAAAUGGUAGGGACAUGGGACUCCAUCUCGGGAGGGACAGAAAUGGCUUCCUGGAAGAAGUGACACCUUCAAGGAGAACUAAAGAAUGAGUUACGGUUAGCUAGGCAAGAGACUGGUGAUGUGUGGUGACCUACGACAUUUGCUCUCUGGUGGCAGGGAGCAGAAUGGGAAUAUCCAGAGAUGGCCAAAGCCUGUUCUUCUUAGAAUCUUUGUCCAUAAAGGCCUCAGCAAUUUGUCCACUCCACCUCAUUGUGCCUUCCCUCCCAGAGACAAAACAAAUGCCUGAAACCUUCUCCUAUUUGCCCACUUGAGAAUAGGAAAAUAAUUUCCAAAUAAGAUGGCCGUUUUUCUGAUCAUAAAAGUAACAUUGAGGCCAGGCACAUUGGCUUAUGCUUGUAAUCCCAGCAAUUUGAGAGGCCAAGGCGGAAGGAUUGCUUGAGGCCAGGAGCUUGAGACUAGCUAGAGCAACACAGGCAGAGCCCAUUUCUACAAAAAGAAAGAAAAUAAAUAGUUGCGCAUGGUGGCCUGCGCCUACAGUCCCAGCUACUUGGGAUGCUGAGGUGGGAGGAUUGCUUGAGCCUGGGAGUUCAAGGCUGCAGUGAGCCACACCACUGCACUCCAGCCUGGGCAAUAGAGCAAGACCCUGUCUCAAAAAAAAAAAAAGUAACAUUGAGUAAAUAUAAUAUUAACUCAAUAUUUAAUAUUCUGUAUUUCAGACAAUAUAGAAAGUUAUAAAGUAAAAGCCGCCCAUAGUCUGUUACAUCCAGACACUGUUAAGGAGACUAUCUUCCCAGACUCUUUUAUGAACAGACCCACAAAUGAGUUUCUUCUUCCAACAAACAGUGGGAUGUGGUUCAGGGUCUUUUCUGGGCUCUCAGAGCUCUCAUCACCCAGAACUGCGGCUUUGGAUGGAACCUGCCCUCGCUUUCUAUACUUAUAGGAAGGAAGCCAAUCUGUCAAUCAAAUAUUUAUUGUGGAGAAGAUGGGUUUCAAUUCCUGUCAGAGCCAAUGGCAGGACUUUUGGGGCUUACUCAGCCUGGUGUGAAUGUUAAGCCAAUGAUUGGGGUGAGGGCGUCUGCCCUGUAGGGCUUACAGGCAUGCCUUGGUGCCUGCGGAAUCAACUCAUACCCUGAAAAGGCAGCCCAGGUCAGAGAAUGCUAUGCCAGGGUGCUCUCUUGUGCUUGCUCUCAUUUCCUCUCUGCAUGCUACUUGGGGAAAAUAUUUUUCUGUUUGUUUGUUCCAACCCACCCAGCUUUCAGAGUAAAAAGACUCGUUAAGCCCUGCACACUUGUAUGCAGGCCAAGUGCACUAUGUUCUUGGAGCGCUGUGCUAUUCUUAGCGCUCUAUAUGUGGUGUUCUAUACAGUUGGCUUUUUGCUGGAGGGGAAGGCAGAUUUCAUGAGUGAUAGCUGCCUUGGCUGGCUACCAAAAGUGCUCUGAGCCAUCUCAAGCAACAGGCCUUCCUUUUUUCCCUUGAGAGGUUGUGUUGUGAUCCCUGCCCUCGGCUUGGACAAAUUCCAAGGCAAUGGGAAUUUUUGUGAACAAUUCUGCAAUAACCCACAAGCUGGGGGAAGGGGGGAUAGCAAGCUGGAUCUGCUCCAGCUCUAAUUUCUGUGACACAGAAGAACUCCUUCCGCCCUUUGCACUGGCCCCUCAUAGCUAUGAAGAAUUUGGAAGUGUUCAUUAAGCAUUCUCCAAUUCUUGAAGCUUAUAACAAUGGGAAGAUCCCUGUAAAGGAAUCUGAUCCAAAAGACAAGGGGACAGCUGACAGCUGAUACUGCUUGCUUGGGCAGUGGGUGUAGCCAUUGCCAAAGACCAAGAGCAAUGAGGCAGGGAAACUCUCUAAAGAGGGCUGAUUACAGAGGGCAUGCUUAUAAGCAUUUAUUGCAUGUCUGGGAGCAUUUACUGUGCAACACAUCCCUUGUGUCUGUCUCACCUUCUAAAUCACCUAUCAUUUUUUAUGACCACACUUCCUGAGAAGCUACUUAGUUAAGCAGCAAACACUGGACCCCCUCAUGUGUGCUGGCCAAUGCUAGACACACAGGAGGCAGCUCACAAGAGAACCAGGAUUAUGGUUAAUAAUAACUACCCUUUGGUGGACACUUGCUGUGUGUCAUACACUGUACUGAGGGCUUUACGUGGAUUAUGGCUGUUAAUCUUCACAACAACCAUUGUUAUCCACAUUUUCUAGAUAGGAAAAUGGAGGCACUGAAGGGCUAACUAACCCAUCGUUGAACCUAGGCGGUCUGACUCCAACGAGUAAGCUCUUGUCCACGCUGCUAUAUUGCCUCUGGGAUGUCUGACUUGGGAACCCCACAGUGCAGCUGGGGAGAUGACCAGCCCUCAAUGAACAGUUGUCCUCGUAGUCUUUAGUAUCUCAGCCCCAUCCUCUUUACCCCCUAUAAACUCAAGGAAAGAAAUACACCUCUUUCCGGCUAAAUUACUGCCUCUGGUGGUCCUUCCUCCACGUCCCAACUGAGAUCUGGCUUUUCUCCCACUCCCUUCAAAUAGCUUCCUUCCCUUUCUUCUCUAUUUUCUUAUCCUAGCUUUUUAAAUAAUGGCCUGCGGCCAUCUCCACCACCAGGAAUGCUCUCUCGUUUUCUCUCUCUGAACCUGGCUUCUAGCCCUAACUCUACUGAAAUUCAUUUCUCUAAGCUCAUCUAUAACCUUUUUGUGGCCAAGAUCCAAGAGACUUUCUCAGUCCUUGUUUCCAUGGCUUCACCAAUACGUUUUACUCUGAGAAUCUUUUCUUUGCUUCCCCAAAUAGCCAGCUUUCCUCCUACCUCUACAACUGUUCAUGCUCUUUUCCCUACCAUCUCUUUCUCUAAGCUCCUUCAAAGGAAUCUGUCUGCACUUCUCUCCUUAUGUUGUCUCUGGGGGCGUGCGACGCUCGCAGGACUCAGCAAGCUCAGCUGGGUCAUUAUCCUACUUUCACCUCUAAGAUGAGAAUUCUAUCUCUCCAUCUCCACCCUUCAUUCUGCAGCUUGUUUGCUGCGUGACUUUUUGCAAGUCACACAAACUAUCUAAGCUUCAGUUUCCUCGUUUCUAAAAUGAAUAUAUUGAAUCGGAUUUGUUAUUCUCCACCUAAGAUAAUGAUAAAACCUAACAUUUUAACCCACAUACCAGGCCAGGCGUAGUGGUUCAUGCCUGUAAUCCUCCCAGCACUUUGGGAGGCAGAGGCAGGUGGAUCAUGGAAGUCAGAGGUUCAAGACCAGGCUGGCCAAAAUGGCAAAACCUCAUCUCUACUAAAAAUACAAAAAUUAGCUGGGUAUGGUGGCGCGCACCUGUAAUCCCAGCUACUCAGGAGGCUGAGGCAGGAGAACUGCUUCAACCUGGGAGGUGGAGGUUGCAGUGAGCUGAGAUCGCGCCACUGCACUCAAGCCUGGGCAACAAAGGGAGACUCCAUCUCAAAUUAAAAAAACUGCAUACUAUGCCAGGCAGGACUAAGUGGAAAAUGAAAGCAUGGGGUUCUGUGUUCACAGGUUUCAUGCCCAUGAAGCCAGCUCUAGUACCAGCCUCUGCUCCAAGCAUUGUAUAUGUAUGAGCUUAUUCAGUCCUCAUAGUAACUUUCUGAGGUAGAUACAGAUGAAGAAAGUAAGGCAGAGAUAGGUUAAGCAGUUGCCCAAGGUCAGUUUUUAAUUGGUAGAAUUGAGGAAAAUAACACUUGCCUGUUGGGGCUGUUGUGAGACUCACGGGUGCAGGUGCAUAGGGAAGGCUGGUUCCUGUCCAGGGACCCCUCAGCCCGGCCAUGCCCAUUCUCCGGCAGAGAGUUUGUCCAUGUGGUUUCUGCUGCCUAUGAUGCCCCCUCUUCCUCUGCCUGUCCCCAAGUCUACACUUUCUUCAAAGCUCAGUUCAAGCCCCUCCUCCUCCUCUGAGGGGUUUCUGCAGCCGAGGCAGGCCCACAUCUCCCUUCCCCUGGCAGAUUUCCUGAGCACCCAUAGUGAAGGCAGCCCCCUCCCUGCCUUAGGAGCACUCGCUGGCCUUUGCGUACUCCAGGCUCAGUAAUAACCAAUCCUACAAGGCCAGAGGAAAAACUUUUUUCUCCAUAUCCUUGGAGCAGCUUGCUGUAGACUGUCUCACCCACCAGACAGGAAGGCUUUGCGGGCAAAACCUAUAUUUGAGUUAUCUGAGUCUUCACUGUGUCCUCGAUAAUUGUGAUUCUCAUAAUUCUCCUAAAAGAGUUCUGUCUAGGCUCUGGACCUUUCCCUGGAAUGCCUUGCCUCAUUGUCCCCUCCUCCAUUCACUCCUCAGGUAUCGGCUCAGAGAUUACCUCCUCCUCCAGGAAGCCUACCCUGUUCUUCUCCCCCAGGUUAAGUGCCUCCUCUGGGCUUCUUUACAUGCUGUGCUUUCCCAUCAGAACACUUGCCUCCCAGUAUCCAUCUUCCUAACCAUGUUCUGAACAUUUGAAGGUAAAGGCCAGGUCUAUCUUAUCACAGUGCCUGGAACACAGUAAGUUCUCAAUAAGUUCGUUUGAACAAAUGAAUGAACGAAUGAAUGAAUGAAAAAAUUAAAUGUUGAGCAGGUGCAGUGGCUCACAUCUGUAAGCCCAGCUACUUGGGAGGCUGAGGUGGGAGGAUCACUUGAGCCCAGGAGUUAGAGACCAGCCUAGACAACAUAGCAAGACCCCAUCCCUAAAGUUUUUUUUUUAAUUAGCUGGGCAGGGUGGUGCAUGCCUGUAGUCCCAGCUACUUGGGAGGCUGAGGCGGGAGGAUCACCUGAACCUAGGAGUUUGAGGUUGCGGUGAGUUAUGAUUAUGUCAUUGCACUCCAACCUGGCAACAGAGACCCCCAUCUCUUAAAAAAAAAGUUGGUGAAAACUCUGGGCUCUGCAGGCAUCUCAGCACAGGGCUUGGCACCUGAUGGGUGCUUAUGUACAUUUAUGAAAUGGGUGAGAACAAAUCCAGAAUUUCUGUUCAGAAGAAGCCUUAGUGGCAGCGGUCUGGUUGGAGGAGUGAGACUAGUGAAUUCCUCUUGACAGAACAAUGACAAGGUAAACAUGAGAGUUGAGAGUCCGUGUUGGGAGCGGAGGCAUAAAGGAGAGGUGUCCUAGGCCAGAGGUCAGCAAGCCCAGGCUUGAGGACCAAAUCCAGCCCACUGCCUGUUUUGGCACAGCCUGUGAGCUAAGACUGGUUUUUGCUUUUGUUUUUUUGUUUGUUUGUUUUUGAGAUGGAGUCUAGCUCUGUUGCCCAGGCUGAAGUGCAGUGGCAUGAUCUCAGCUCACUGCAACCUCCGCCUCCCAGGUUUAAGCAAUUCCUACGCCUCAGCCUCCCGAGUAGCUGGGAUUACAGGCAUGUGCCACCACACCAGGCUAAUUUUUGUAUUUUUAAUAGAGACAGGGUUUCACCACGUUGGCCAGGCUGGUUUCGAACUCCUGACCUCAGGUGAUCCACCCACCUCGGCCUCCCAAAGUGCUGAGGUCACAGGCAUGAGCCACCGCACCUGGCCGGUUUUUGCAUAUUAAAAGAAUAUUACUACUUUGUGAUACAUGAAAAUUAUGGAUUCAGAUUUCAGUAUUCAUAAGGUUUCACUGGAACAUGGCCACACCUGCUUGUUUCUGUACUGUCUAGGGGUGCCUCAGUGCUAUGACAGUAGCUGCAACAGACACACUGAAUGUUCACUUUUUGGCCCGCCACAGAAGGAGCUUGCAGAUCCCUGCUUUGGCCGUCUAGCUGACCUAGGGGAGGAAGGACGUAUGCUGCCAGCCAGCCACAAGGUGUCAGCCUCUCACCAUGAUGCUGCCAGCCGCGUGGGCUUCUCCAAGUUCUCCAAGGCUUCUCUCCAGGGCCACCUGCGCAGGACCAGGACUGUGGCCCCUAGACCCCGUCCCACCAGGCUAUAGUCACUAGUGUGAAAGCCAAAGACAUCAAGGCGGGGUGUGGAAUCUACAUGAGGAGUACAGGCCUGGCUUGGGAAGCCCCAUGGCCUGGAGAAGGGUUGGCAGACUUCUCCGGACAUGCUCUGUUUCUUUGAUUUAGGUUUUAUUUGUAUUUUGUAUACAAAAGAUUCUCCAAACAAACUAAAAUUGUUUAUUUCACCACAAACUAUCAAUCCAGAAAGGUUGUGGGACUUUUGCACAACCAGAUAAGACCGCAGCCCUCUAAGGAUGAACCUGCAUGAGGGGAACACAGGUCCCUGCCAAGCAGAGUGGCUCCGAAAUGGCAUCUCUGGCAGGUUUUCUCUCCCUUUCUGUCGAAACCUGGGCCUUGGCCAGGUGUGGUAGCUAAUGCCUGUAAUCCCAACACUUUGGGAGGCCAAGGCGGAAGGAUCGCUUGAGGCCAGGAGUUCAAGUCUAGCUUGGGUAACACAGUGAGAUCCUAUCUCUACAAAAAAAUAUUGAAAAUUAGGGCAGGAGCGUUGGUGCAAGCCACUACUACUACUAGCUACUUGGGAAGCUGAGGAUGGAAGAUCUCAAGGAACUCAUUGAGCCCAGGAGUUUGAGGCUGCAGGAAGCCAUGAUUACGCCACUGCACUCCAGCCUGGGUGACGGAGCAAGAUCAUCUUAAAAAAGCAAAAAAGAAAGAAAGAAAGAAAAAAGAAACCUGAACUCUGUAGCUUCCUUCAGGUGAACAAGCAGUUAGCCCUGUGUGCCAACGAUUCAAUAUGAAAGUGGUAAAUUUCACAGGGAAUUAAAGGGGAGGAUCUAGGAGAGAAGAUCCCAAAAGGAAAAUAAGCCACUGGAGGUCACAACCCUGGAGGCUCCUCCGAUGCCCAGCUGUUUGCGUCAGCCCCUGUGCUAGGUGCUUCACGUGGUUACUCUGGAGAGUCGUCUCGAGAUCAUCCCCAUUUGACACAUGAGGAAACAGGAAAGUUCGGGGAUGUGAAAUUGCUUGCUGGGGUCAUUAGCUGUUCGGUGGCAGAGAUAGGAUUUCAGCCCUUGCCUGCCUGUUCUGAAGCCUGUCCUCUCUAUGCCAUGCGCCCCCGCCAAGGUCAUGCAGGCAUACCACUUCAAUACCAUGCCUUCCUCGCUCACCAUGGAUCCCCAGGCCGGGCACCCAGCAAAUAUCCACCGGAUGAAUAAAUGGGUGCAGGCCUGCAAGCACUGCAGCGAACCUUUCCCUGUGCAGUCGCCUAACUUCCAAGACACUUCCAGGAAGAGAUGAGGCAGAGAGUCAAAGCUGCGAGCAGGAAAUAAGAAUCAUGACGCAUGGUUUUCUGCACACCAUGGGCUCUUUUCCCCUUGCUUGUACCCACAGCACUGUGGGCACCGCGGACAUACUGCCUGUUCUUGCCUUUUGCUCCUUUCCUCCCCCAGCUCCCACGCGCUUGCUGGCUUCCGUGGCAGGCCCUAGCCCAUCUCCUUCUAUUACGUGGACAUCUGCUCCUAAAGCUGCUUUUCAGUGGCUGCAGGCAAUGCCCUAACUUCUAGCCAUUUUUCUAAAUGAAAACUUGAUUCCAGCCGGCUGUCACUGUGAAAGUGCUCUAGGACGGUCCAGAUAACCAGAUUCUAGCCCUUCCUGCGACUCAUUGGGUGACUUUGGACAAAUUUCCUCACCUUGGGCCCUCCUUUCUAUGCUAGCUUUUGAAAGGAAGCAUGCAGACAGGGCCAUCCUUGAGCAGCUAGAGGCCUGCAGGCCCAGUGCCACCUAGUCUGGACCACCCAGGAGAUGAAGACCAUGCACUUAGGACAGAUGAAGAAAGGAGAAGCCUUCCUAGAGGAAAGGAUUAGAUCAGGAGGGACUUUUGAUAAACCCAGUCCUUAAGAAAUUAAAUCACAGCAGAACCCCAUUUGGCAUAUACGGUAUUAGAAGUCAGGAAUGAGACAGAAAGGGUCAUGAUCAAUUCUAGAACCUCUAUGACACAUCCUGUUUAUUCACCUGGCUAAUUCUCUGUACUGAAUGGCAGUCAAGUCUUCAAUCAUUUAACAAAUAGGUAUUAAGCAUAUAUUGUGGCUGCAGAGCUGAGCCAGGCAGGUGAGGCACCAGUGCUCACAAAGCCCGCUCUCCAGGCUCAGGAACCCCAAGGACAGAUGGGUACCUAUCGUGCCAGGCAGCAGCACAUGGCAUCUAGAAGCAGGGCUUUCCUCAGUCCCUAGCUGGGAGAGCAGAAGCUGCAAGGGGAAGGGCGAGAAGUCCAGGCCUGCCUAACUGUGCAAGGUCUCUGGGCUGAUCUCAUGGUUACUUAGCCCCAGAACAUACUCACGGCUGUGCCUGCCCUUCUUGCCCUUCUCCUCACUCAACCUUGGACUGGUUCUGCUCACUGAGCUGGGGGUACCUGAUUUGCAGCAAACCUCCUGCCCCUGGAACAGCAGUGCAGACGAUCAGCAGCAGCCACUACGUCCUUUGGGCAGGGAGGCAGGAGUGUGGCGCACUGCCAGAUGAGAAAUUGCAUCCCUAGCGCACGGCAGGGCUAAUUAGCUGCUAAGGGGGCUUUGUCAAUGUUCACUGAGAAUGUGGUCAUGACAGGCAGGUAGCGAUUCCUGCUUGGCCUGACUUGAGUGUGGAAGGCUCUCUGCUGUCAGCACUGGCUGCUUUUGGAGGUGGGUCCACCGCUGGGCACACACAGGUAUGUGCAGUGGUACUGUCUGUGCAGGACGUAGCUGAGCCUGAAGGAAGAGGGACAGACUGGCAGGAAACCUGACAGGGAGCUGAGUGGAGUGAGGCAGAUGUGUGUACAUAAACACACCUGUCAUGGGGAAUAUAAGGUGGUAAAGAACUAAGAAAGAUAACCAGAACAGAAAGGAAAGAUGCUACUGCGUCUCCCAGGAAGCAGCGUCUCAGGCAAGUCAGCCAACCUCUCUGGGCCAGGGUGCUGUGUCCAAGGUACCCAGGGCAGAGAGUGCAUUGAAACACUUCGGAGAAGUGGCCUGUGCAGGCCACCAGGUCAGGACUGUGAAGAAAAGAGCCAGUGCUCUCAACGGGGGCACUUUUACCCCCCAGGGGACAUGUGGUAACAUCUGGAGACAUUUUUGGUGGUCUCAUCUGAAGGAGUGCUAGUGGCAUUUAGUAGGUGGAAGCUAGGGAUGUUGCUAAACGUACUAUAAUGCACAGGGCAGCCCCAUCCCCAACAGAGGAUUCUGCAGCUCCAAAGCAUCACCAUUGCCAAGACCCUGAGCUCAAGGAACAGACUCAGACCUGCAUUCUCUGUGACGUGGGAUCUGGGGAGAGUUGUGUGCCUCCUCAUCUGAAAGAUGGGGAUAAUGAACCUUAGCCAGGCUGGGCGUGGUGGCUCAUGCCUGUAAUCCCAGCAGUUUGGGAGGCCAAGGCAGGCAGAUCACCUGAGGCCGGGAGUUCAAGAUCAGCCUGACCAACAUAGUGAAACCCUGUCUCUACUAAAAAUACAAAAAUUAGCCGGGCGUGGUGGCGCGUGCCUGUAAUCUCAGCUACUCAGGAGGCUGAGGCCAGAGAAUCACUUAAACCCAGGAGGUGGAGGUUGUAGCGAGCUGAGAUGACGCCACUGCACUCCAGCCUGAUCGACAGAGCAAGACAUUGUCUCAAAAAAAAAACAAAACAAUUACUUGCGCUUCUCAUCAUACAACCUUAUGAGACCCACUCCCCCAAUACACAGGAAAACUGUUACCUUUCUAAAGGGCUCUUUGUUGAGCUUUUCUUAGUUUGAAACCUUCAUGUUACUAAAGCAUCUAGCAUGGUGACUGGCAUAUAGUAGGUGCUCAAUAAAUAUGAAAAAGAGAAAAGCAAUACAGUAGUAAACAAAAACAAAACAAAAAAAUAGCCUGGCCGGGUACGGUGGCCUGUAAUCCCAGCACUUUGGGAGGCCAAGGCGGGCGGAUCACAAGGUCAGGAGAUCAAGACCAACCUGGCUAACAUGGUGAAACCCUGUCUCUAAUAAAAAUAUAAAAAAAUUAGCCAGGCAUGGUGGUGGGCACCUGUAGUCAUAGCUGCUCAGGAGGCUGAGGCAGAAGAAUGGCGUGAACCCGGGAGGCGGAGCUUGCAGUGAGCCAAGAUCGCUGUCACUGCACUCCAGCCUGGGCAACAGGGUGAGACUCUGUCUCAGAAAAAAAAAAGAAAAAAAAAAAAGAAAUAGCCCACUUUCCCCUCUUUGGCCAGUUUCUUCCAUAUCUCUGGGUCUCAUUUUUUGCCUAGCCUUUCUAUAAAGUUCUACACAGGCAGAGGGUAGUGAUGUUAACAGAGGCUAUCUUGAAAGCCCUCGAGGGGUCAGGGAUAAGAUUAAGGACAGGUAGCUAAGGAGAUGGGAAGUUUUGCCAAAUCCCAAGGGGCAGGCUCCCAGAUCCAUCCAGAAGUCCUGUGCUUACUGCCCUUGUGGGGCAGAAGCAAGCGUGGCGGCCGCACCAGGGGCUCAGCUCACUGGGAGGUUAGGUUUCCCAAAGAGCUGCACCAGCUGUGAACACUUACCCUACAGAAGCUGACUCAGAAAGACAGCAGCUUGGUGGUGGUGUGGGGUGGGAGGGGGGUGCAGUGAAGCCAGACCCCAGCCCCGAGAGUGCUGCCUUAUCCUGUUCCUCCUAGAGCCCUUCCAAUGUAACCAGCCUUGCAGAAGCUGCUGUGCAGGGACCAAGGGCAUGAUCCACCCUUGAACUUGCCAUCCAACUGGGAGGGCCAGAUGUACCCUUGAGAUUUGAUGAGUAAGAGACUGCUUCACAAAGUAUGUGCAAGUGCUGGAACAGAGGGCAGGCGUACUCACAGCUGAGAAGCCAAGAGGCAGAACAGAGUGGGCCGGCACCCUGCCUGGGCACUCCUGCCUUGUGGCUGGCCCUCUUCCCACUAUGCCAACUUGCUUCCUAACAUAUGGUCUCCCCAUCAUUUCUACCAAGAAAGUGUGAAAAACGCCAUCUUGGCACAUGGAGAAACUGAGGCAGAAAGGAAGGCCUGGCUCAAGGCUGUGGUGACUUGGAGAUUCCAAUCAGGGAUCCUCCCAGAUUAGAUGUCAGGGCAGGGGAGGGACCUGGGUGUGCUUUGGGCCUAGAGGAGGUAAAGGGACAAAGCAGGGCCUGCUCUUCUGGCAGGGGAGGCACAGAUGCCCUUGGCUGACUUGCUUGGAGUUUACACAUUUCAUGUCCCAUACCUUCAAGGUGUCCGCCUCGAGCUGAGGUGUAACACCCCCACAUCCCACCUCCCCCCUCUCUCCCUUCCCUCCCCUCCAGAAUGAGCUCAUGCCACACUGCCUGGUCUUGGUGCCUAAGGAAACACUUCCCAGAAGCAUUUCACCUUCAUAAAAGCUCAGGGAGGUGGGCCAGAGUCCCUUCUCCACACGCCCUAGAAGCCAGCCUUGGGAUUAACAGAGAAGACCCUGGGGACAGGCUCACCCUUCCUUUCCCUUCCCCUCCCCACUGCCAGAGAGAUUGCAUCUCCUCAAUGGCCGCCACAUGUGGUCCCCACUUCCUGCUUCCUCAGAAGCAAUGCCUGGCUCCCACAGCCCAGCCAGAGCAGCCCCUUUUCUUGCUCUCACAUCAGCUGCCUUGCAGACAUCUGUACCCCUCCCCCAGGUGCUGGUAGUGUCCUAGGGUUUUUUAGAAGGAAAGAAAGAGGAUGAGAGUUUGGUUCAGAGGUCAGAGGGCAAGAAAGUCCGCUGCAUGGCUCUUCCACAGGGCUUGGAUCCCCCAUCGCCCUGCCGGCAGGGCCGGCUCACAGAGUCUGCAGUUUGGCAAUUUCUCCCAGGUCCAUUCACAAACUCUCCUCGGCCCUCUCCAGUCACCCAAGUGGGGAAGGCAGAAUGGAAUUGCUUACUGGGCCUCCCAGCUCAGCCUCAUGGCCAUUAGGCUGACCUGCUCUGGCGAGGCACAGGCUCCUAAAAAUGGCCUGACUCUCGCAGGAGGCAAAGGCCAGUCUGGCCAAAGUGUAACCUGGAAGCCCUGGUUGGUGAAGGGGUCCGAGGACCCCGUUAGAGUUGAGGGAGAAAAGGCAAAUGCUCCUGUCCUCAGGGCCCAGCCUCCCACACCCCCAAUCCCCUCUCAGCCAAGCUCCCUCCCUGCCUUGGGCUGUAAACCAAAGUUUACUGACUGAGGGAAGGAGCAGUCCCAGGUAAAGGCCCUGUAAGGACCCCCACAUAGGCCCGCAGCAGGCAGCAGCCAAGGAGGUCUCAACCACCCAUGCCGAGACUGCCAGGACGGCACUGGGCAGGGAAAAAGAGACCUCAGUGCGAGCGCUCUCAGAAAAGCAGUGUCAAAUUCUGCCCCCACUGCGGGAGGCCGCAGGAUCUUACCCUCAUUCAAGUCUAGUUCAGGAGCCUGCAGGGAUGGGGCCAGGAAGGCCACUGCAGCCAGUGCCCCUGCAGUUCCAGCUGCACCUUACAUCUGGAGUUCAGAGGCUAGAGAAAGACUGGAACUUGGGAUCCCAGGCUCAGGGCCCUGCCCUCUUCCCUUUUAUUCCACCAAUCUCUUGGGUGGGGAGUGGCGUGGGGAA